ACGCCUACCUGACGGCGGGAGGCCGCGGUGCAUCGUCUCUGGUCCUCCGAAUUUAGCGCCUACCUGGCGGCAGGAGGCGGCGGUGCAGCGUCCCUGGUCCUCCAACGUUAUCGCCUACCUGGCGGCAGGAGGCCGCGGUGCAGCGUCUCUGGUCCUCCGACUUUAGCGCCUCCCUGGCAGCAGGAGGCAGCGGUGCAGCGUCCCUGGUCCUCCAACGUUAUCGCCUACCUGGCGGCAGGAGGCAGCGGUGCAGCGUCUCUGGUCCUCCAACGUUAGCACCUACCUGGCAGCAGGAGGCCGCGGUGCAGCGUCUCUGGUCCUCCGCCUUAACGCCUACCUGGCAGCAGGAGGCCGCGGUGCAGCGUCUCUGGUCCUCUAACGUUAGCGCCUACCUGGUGGCAGGAGGCCGCGGUGCAGCGUCUCUGGUCCUCCAACGUUAGCACCUACCUGGCAGCAGGAGGCCGCGGUGCAGCGUCUCUGGUCCUCCGCCUUAACGCCUACCUGGCGGCGGGAGGCCGCGGUGCAGCGUCUCCGGUCAGCCAGCCUCGGCGCGGCCGGGGGGUUGAAUUUAGUUUUCAAGAAGGAACUGCAGAUGCUGGAAGAUCGAAGAUGCUGCCUAACCGGCUGAGUUACUCCAGCACUCUGUGACCUUUUUCGCAAGUUGCAUGCCGCCCCCUACGCGACUCAGUGCCAAUGACCGGUGGGGCAGUGCCGGCAGUCCCCCUCGGAUUGGGGGUGAUGUCAGGAGCCGGUCCUGAGAGCCAAGCUUGUGGCAGAAGUCACGGCACAAGGCGGGGUAUGUAACGGCACAGGGCAGCUGGUUGGUGGACGUGCAGGUGGCAGCUUCACGCCGUGCCCGGACACUCGGCGCCUCAGGGUUUAGGAGCCGUUGCUGUGGACGGAGAGACGGGAACAUGAGCGGCUAUUGUGGGCAGCCAGGUUGCCGGUGACCCCACCCAUCCCCCCCCUCCACAAUCAGCUCGGGGCGUGAGCUGUGCUUCGAGGGGCUGCGCUUCGGUAGAGGACCACUUGCCGUGGCACAACAAGGAGAAGAGUUAUGAGUGCGACGUGUGCGGCAAGGCCUGGCAGUACCCGAGCCGGCUGGGACCCGCCGGCUGGUGCACACAGUCGAGAAGCCCUAUGGCUGCUUCACCUGCGGCAAGUACAUUGCCCAAUCGUCACGGUUAUGGCAGUGCCAGCAGGUGCACAGCAGUGCAAAUCUCAAAGCGCAUUUCAGGUUGUGGUCUGUGAUCAAAUUUUACAGGCAACUUCCCUCUAUUAUUUUGUUGACACAACAGACAUGUUCUUGCAACUUUAUAAAUUACUAGACCACGUGCAGACCCGUUGGGUGUGUCCCACCAACGUGCGGUUGUGUGGGGGGGGGGGG